AGUCCUAUGUAUUAUUAUAAAUGUAAAAUACAAGUAAACAAUACAAAAAAUAAUAGGUCCACUUUUUUUAUUCUAUUGAUGAAUUAUGUUUUAGUGGGAUAAACCCGGCCUAAGCGUCCACCACGAUGUUGAGAAGGCCAAAAAAAAAAAUAGUGGCAAUUUGCAUAGAUAUGGCAACAACAAUAAUGAUGACAAUAAUAAUAUUGGGUGGCCAUCAUCACGUGUUUCAAGUUCACCCUGAGAUUCAGUGCUACUGACACGUGGCGCCAAAUAAUUGAAGAAAAAAUGAUUUUUUUGAAGGUCUGAUUUCACUCAACAAAGUUGGGAAAAUGAAAGCCCGCAAUCCUCCCAAGAAGUUGAAGUCCAAAUUUCAAAUAGUAGAAUAUGGAGAUGGGCGGUGCUCUAUUUUUUCUUUUUCUGCGACCCCAUUUGAUUUGAAUCCAAAACAAACCAGAAGCCGACAGAUCCACCACUGCCAAAAGUUUACCAAAUUUACCCUUCCUUGACUUCCAACUUCAAAAUCCUUUGAAGUUGCUGUAUGGAAAACUGUAGAAAUGAAAUGACGAAUCUGUGUGAGAGUGAUUGCGGUUGUGGAGAUCGGAAAAACUCAGAAUCAGAGGCAAUAGGGGGAAUGGGUCUCUCUGCAUCUUCUUCGUCUUCCUGCAGAUUCAAUGUGCUAUGGCAAUGGGUCUUCACUAUAAGCCGGUGAGGUUGCGAGUAGGCGGUCCGGCCCCAUUUGUACCAUUUUCCCAUAUAACUACUUCAACCGCUUCAACGAAAGCCUUAUUGGGGCUGAAGAAUUCCAAGCCUUCAUCCCGCUCUGCUCCAUCCUCUCUGUUUUCAAACAUCGACGACACCACUUUAGCCGAGUUCUUUCCUCUUUUACUGAUUCUCCUCAUUUUCUUUGGAUUUCGGCGUUUGCUUAUGGCUUCCAUGGAAUUGGAAAAGCCGACUUCUGAGACUGUAAGCGAAGGGGGGAACAGAGGAAAACUGGAUAAUGAGAAGAGGGGAGGACUAGAUUUGAAUGAAGCGAGAAAUGGGAAGAGGAAGAAGAAGAAAGGAAAUCGUACGGUAUCGUUUUACCUACCCAAGAUCGGAUUCGGAUGUUUCAGAGUACAACGAGAUGAGGAAGGGAAUCUUGAUAUGGAGGUCGUCAAUGGCUCUGGGGAGCGUCGGAAGCCCACCCACCUUCUUAUAAUGGUUAACGGUCUCGUUGGCAGUGCUAAAGAUUGGAAAUAUGCAGCGGAGGAGUUUUUGAAGGCGUACCUAGAAGAUAUUAUUGUUCAUUGUGAGUCUUUCAAUUGCAGUAAACGUAAUUACUCAACAUUGACCCUUGAUGGUGUUGAUGUGAUGGGAGGAAGACUGGCAGAAGAGAUUUUGUUAGUUAUCAAGAGACAUCCAAAUGUCCAAAAGAUCUCCUUCGUAUGUCAUUCAUUAGGUGGACUGAUAGCAAGGUAUGCCAUAGCAAAGCUUUAUGAGCUAAAAGAUGUCCAAGUAAAUGGAGAGUAUAACAAACAUGGGUUUAGAGAUGAAAGCUGUGAAGAUGAAUUUAGAGGGAAAAUUGCUGGGCUGGAACCAAUUAAUUUUAUAACAUGUGCGACCCCACAUCUUGGUUCAAGAGGGCAUAAACAGGUCCCUAUGUGUUGUGGCUUUUAUGCCCUGGAAAAAGUAGCUGUUUGCACGUCUUAUUUCUUUGGUAGAACUGGGAGACAUUUAUUUUUAAUUGACAAGGACAGUGGAAACUGCCCCCUUCUUUUUCAUAUGGCUGGUGAUCGUGAAGACCUCAAAUUUUUAUCUGCUUUGCAGUCAUUUAGGCGGCGUGUUACCUAUGCGAAUGUGCGUUAUGAUAACGUUGUUGGAUGGAGUACAUCUUCUAUAAGGCGUCGUACCGAGUUGCCUAAGCUUAAAGGUUUAUCAGGAGAUGGAAAAUAUCCAUAUAUUGUAAACGUAGAGAUGGAAAAAAAUUCUAAUCAUCAAUUAUACGUGCCGUCAGAGGCCAAAGCCAAUAGAUUCAAGAAAACUGAUCUGGAAGAAGAAAUGAUCAAAGGUAUAUCGAGUGUGGGUUGGGAGCGGGUCGAUGUCGACUUCCACAAAAGUAAACAAAGAAAUGAUGCCCACCUUACCAUUCAGGUUAAUAGGUACAGAGUCAAUUCUGAUGGGGCCUGCGUGAUCCAACAUAUGAUUGACAAUUUUCUCUUGUAGCAUGUGACAAAUUGAAUUAUUGAAAAUUAAUUUCGAGUUCUCAAACAACAGCCGGGAAGGGAAGAAUGCCUGGUCUCUCUCUGGUUUGAUGCUUUCAAAUAACAUCUGUACUUGAGACUGUAUUGGCUUGAACAUCAGCUACAGAAUUGUGUUGUUUAGAUCAAAAAAAUUAUUUGGGAUAAUGAAGCGAAUCUACUCAUAAUCAAGGUCUCUCGCUGUCUGCUGUAAGUUCUGUGGAUCAAGAAGAAAGCAAGUCAGCAAUAUCUGGCUGAAUUCCUACUAUUGGAAGUGGAGAUCUGUUUUAUAUUAGAAGGCUUAGAUGAAUUUUUCUAUUGAAGAUGUAGCCUCUCUUUUGAUAAGUACUAUAUCUCUUAGACUCUUGGCACUUUCCGCCAAUGAAGAUUCAUAAUCUCCAUAGAAUUGAAUGAAAAGUGCUACUUAUUCUUGUAGAUGAGAAGCACAUGGGAAUAUAUGGUGACAACAGUAUGCCGUAGCAAGUGUUAGUAAAUGGAGAGAAUUGAAUUUUGCUCUUAUGGAGAUGAAACAUGUUUAUUUCCAUUGGAUCGGUCAGCUAGAGAUGCGUGGCUGACAUUCAAGAGGAACCAAAUAGAGAAGAGACUAGCAAAUUCCAAACAAUUAUACCUUUUUAUACAGGAAGCAACCAAGGUGGGUGAUUUGAAAUCAAGUGCAUGUUUAUUUUCUUUGAAUGCGUGGAUAGCUUUACUUGGAUAUCACAUCCAUCAUUCUGAGCACUAAAACAUUGAAAUGACUUACAGAUUAAUUUUGGAAAAGAACUUUCAUAUGAUCGAUCCACCUGCUGCUGUGGGAGGAGGUCAGGACCUGUCAAUUCCGCCAAGCCAAUGCCUUUCCUGUUGUCCCACAAUCGACGCAUGUACCCAUGCUGAAUGAAAGAGACAGAAUCAGUUAAAGAAACCAACAAAAGCAAAAUCCUUGCUUUCAAGCCCAUAUUCAGAGAAAUCAUUCAUCAUGGAUACUCUCUGAUAGUCUUUAUUAACACAUUCAAAAACUGUCGACUCUUAAUAACAUUAUGCAAUACAAAUUUGAAAUAUAAUUUUCAAA